AGUGAACGCUGGCGGUAGGCCUAACACAUGCAAGUCGAACGGCAGCACAGUAAGAGCUUGCUCUUACGGGUGGCGAGUGGCGGACGGGUGAGGAAUACAUCGGAAUCUACUUUUUCGUGGGGGAUAACGUAGGGAAACUUCGCUAAUACCGCAUACGACCUACGGGUGAAAGCAGGGGAUCUUCGGACCUUGCGCGAUUGAAUUAGCCGAUGUCGGAUUAGCUAGUUGGCGGGGUAAAGGCCCACCAAGGCGACGAUCCGUAGCUGGUCUGAGAGGAUGAUCAGCCACACUGGAACUGAGACACGGUCCAGACUCCUACGGGAGGCAGCAGUGGGGAAUAUUGGACAAUGGGCGCAAGCCUGAUCCAGCCAUACCGCGUGGGUGAAGAAGGCCUUCGGGUUGUAAAGCCCUUUUGUUGGGAAAGAAAAGCAGCAGGUUAAUACCCCGCUGUUCUGACGGUACCCAAAGAAUAAGCACCGGCUAACUUCGUG
rnacentral:rRNA from 1 species